rnacentral:rRNA from 1 species
GACGAACGCUGGCGGCGUGCUUAACACAUGCAAGUCGAGCGGGAAACUUCGGUUUCCAGCGGCGGACGGGUGAGUAACACGUGGGCAACCUGCCUCACAAUGAGGGAUAGCCCUCCGAAAGGAGGAUUAAUACCUCAUAACACAAGAGAAACGCAUGUUUCUCUUGCCAAAGAAUUUCGUUGUGAGAUGGGCCCGCGGCGCAUUAGCUUGUUGGUGAGGUAACGGCUCACCAAGGCUUCGAUGCGUAGCCGACCUGAGAGGGUGAUCGGCCACAUUGGAACUGAGACACGGUCCAGACUCCUACGGGAGGCAGCAGUGGGGAAUAUUGCACAAUGGAGGAAACUCUGAUGCAGCAACGCCGCGUGAGUGAUGAAGGUCUUCGGAUUGUAAAGCUCUGUCUUCUGGGACGAUAAUGACGGUACCAGAGAAGGAAGCCACGGCUAACUACGUGCCAGCAGCCGCGGUAAGAC